ensembl:processed_transcript
GAGUUUGGGAUGGUGGGUGUUCAAAAAGAGAUUUUUUUUCUUUUGGAAAACCAUAAGUGGGUCAAAUAACAACAGUUUAUGGUCAUUCUCAAGCAAACACAAUAAAGAGUCAUUUCCUCAUCACGGCGGCUGCAGUGAACAUUCGGAACCGUCAUGCAGUCCGCGCGCUUCUCCAGAGGACCCUUCACCGUUUUUACUAAAGCAGGCGAUCUCUGGCUGAAACCGAAACAAAGCGCAAAGUUUGAUUGAUCGCGGAAGUUUUCUAGACUUGAUCAGACUAGAGAUCUGGUGAAAUCCAAAGCGCGAUGCCAGCAGCAGCCCGUGACGGUGAGACGCAUUAGAGGCUCGUCGCUUUUCUCUCGCCACUGCUGGAAUGGACGCGGUUCAGCUUCACCAACGCGCCUCUCGCCGGAGCAUAGACUCCCACUAGAGCUCAGACGCGCAUUCAGGAUUCAUUAAGUUCGGUCGGACUGCAAAAGCUUUCUGUAAGAAACAUGUAAAAGGCGUCGGACGCCGCUGGACCAUGUCCACCUUCCCAAGCCAUGACUGGUGCGCGCAAGAAUCCCUCGUCAUCUCAUGGUCAAUGUGUGUAAGGAGGCCUGUGGUGUGUGUCACUGUAAUGCUGCUGUUCACAGUGGCCCACAGUAAACGCUCCUGUGAUUAUUCAGUGAUCAUCAGCACCUACAAGGCGCUCAUCCUGGUCGAGCUCCAAGCCCUGAAUCUGACUGGUUCGUUUGACAUAUCAAAAGAAAAGGACCACUGUCCUGAGAAGGUACAGCCUGAGAAGGUACAGCCACUCGCAUAUGCUUACAUGUUCGCUGCCUCCUGCGGUAUAUCUAUGGCAGGACUCAGAUCUUCAACUGCUUGAGUAACAGUCGGAUGCAGCAGCAGUCAGACCGCAUGACUGAGGUGGUGAAACAAAUGCAGAGGCUCCUCACACAAGACUGCCUCAAACCGCAAAAAAUGAAAAAAGCAUCUUGUAAACCGGUGAAGAAGCGCAGAGGACGGCUGCGGCAGAGACUGAAGCUGAUGAGGAUGAUCAUUAACAGCUGGCAGAGGCUACUGAGCGUCACGGCUUAUUAAACUACACACUGCUCUCAGUUCAGCUCCAGCACACACUAUUUAAAACACUAUGCACCUUCACCAUUAUUUAUUCACCUUGAAAUACAAAGAGUUUUGUCAGUGAACCGAUAAGCUGAGGUUGUGUCGAAA